UACAGAGGGGGCAAGCGUUGUCCGGAAUUACUGGGCGUAAAGGGCGCGUAGGCGGCCUUCUAAGUCGAACGUGAAAUCCCCGGGCUCAACCCGGGAACUGCGUCCGAUACUGGAAGGCUUGAAUCCGGGAGAGGGAUGCGGAAUUCCCGGUGUAGAGGUGAAAUUCGUAGAUAUCGGGAGGAACACCAGUGGCGAAGGCGGCGACCUGGGCCAAUAUUGACGCUGAGGUGCGAAAGCGUGGGGAGCAAACAGG
rnacentral:rRNA from 1 species